UCCAGCCCUAGCGCCUCCGCUCCUCUCCCCCGCCGCCACCCCCUCCCCGCAUCGUCUCCCACGCCAAGACCGCCGCCGCCGCCCGUCAAGAUGGUGCUGCAGAACGACAUCGACCUCCUCAACCCGCCGGCGGAGCUCGAGAAGCUCAAGCACAAGAAGAAGCGCCUCGUGCAGUCCCCCAACUCCUUCUUCAUGGAUGUCAAGUGCCAGGGCUGCUUCAACAUAACGACUGUGUUCAGCCACUCUCAGACCGUGGUGGUGUGCCCUGGCUGCCAGACGGUGCUUUGCCAACCCACCGGAGGAAAGGCGAGGCUCACCGAGGGAUGCUCCUUCCGCCGGAAGGGCGACUAA
rnacentral:rRNA from 1 species